UACGGGGGGGGCAAGCGUUGUUCGGAAUUACUGGGCGUAAAGGGCUCGUAGGUGGCCAACUAAGUCAGACGUGAAAUCCCUCGGCUUAACCGGGGAACUGCGUCUGAUACUGGAUGGCUUGAGUUCGGGAGAGGGAUGCGGAAUUCCAGGUGUAGCGGUGAAAUGCGUAGAUAUCAAGCGGAACACCAGUGGCGAAGGCGAGUCCCUGGACAACUCCUGACACUGAGGCACGAAAGCUAGGGGAGCAAACAGG
rnacentral:rRNA from 1 species